GCCGCUAUGAUGGAAUGGUAGACAUCGCGGACUUAAAAUCCGCUGGGGGCAACUCCGUACCGGUUCGAGUCCGGUUAGCGGCACCA
rnacentral:tRNA from 1 species